AACGGACUCAGACCAAACGGACUCAGACCAAAAGGCAUCAGACGAAAAGGACUCAGACCAAAAGGCAUCAGACGAAAAGGACUCAGACAAAAAGGCAUCAGACGAAACGGACUCAGGUGGACUAUCGCGUAGCCCCGCCCCAUGUGACGUCACACGCACGCGGUUCAGAGGAAGUGUAUGAAACGGUUGAUGGAUGGCAAAAGGAGAACAGAAAUAUGGAAAGGUUGAAGGUGUAUGAAACUCUCAGACAACAACUGGAUAAUGAUGAGAUUACUUAAAAGGGCUUUGAUGCCAGAGUAAAGGAUUUAUUGCUUGAACGUGGUGCAGAAGGAACAUCAGAGACCAGCAAAACAAAAAAUCCGAAGGCAUUCAUGGAUGCAGCACAAGUUUUUACCAAGGCAAAACAAUUAAUAAAACCACAAGUGAAGAAAUGCCAGUUUCCCCUCCGUCAAAAAGGAAAACCCCUUUUAAAGGUAAACAACAAGCUUGGGGCAAUUAUUAAGUGGGCUUGAAAAAGCCAACUGACUGAACUACUGCUUAGACAUUUUAUUAUUAUUAGUUAGCUUUCUCAAGCCAAACUACUGAAUUGCUAAUUAAAAUGAUUAUUAUUCUUUUGCUGAGACUAAAAUUUCUGACUCUAACUAGUCCUAGGGCUUUCAAGCUAGAAACACCAAACUUGGGUCAGACCUGCAGAAAUCUAAACACAUCGAAGUCCAAAAUUUACUUUGAUUUGUAUUUAACAUUAAUAAUUUUUUUUUCCACUUUAU